rnacentral:rRNA from 1 species
UCCUACGGGAGGCAGCAGUAGGGAAUCUUCCGCAAUGGACGAAAGUCUGACGGAGCAACGCCGCGUGAGUGAUGAAGGCUUUCGGGUCGUAAAACUCUGUUGUUAGGGAAGAACAAGUGCGAGAGUAACUGCUCGCACCUUGACGGUACCUAACCAGAAAGCCACGGCUAACUACGUGCCAGCAGCCGCGGUAAUACGUAGGUGGCAAGCGUUGUCCGGAAUUAUUGGGCGUAAAGGGCUCGCAGGCGGUUUCUUAAGUCUGAUGUGAAAGCCCCCGGCUCAACCGGGGAGGGUCAUUGGAAACUGGGAAACUUGAGUGCAGAAGAGGAGAGUGGAAUUCCACGUGUAGCGGUGAAAUGCGUAGAGAUGUGGAGGAACACCAGUGGCGAAGGCGACUCUCUGGUCUGUAACUGACGCUGAGGAGCGAAAGCGUGGGGAGCGAACAGGAUUAGAUACCCUGGUAGUCCACGCCGUAAACGAUGAGUGCUAAGUGUUAGGGGGUUUCCGCCCCUUAGUGCUGCAGCUAACGCAUUAAGCACUCCGCCUGGGGAGUACGGUCGCAAGAUUAAAACUCAAAGGAAUUGACGGA